rnacentral:rRNA from 1 species
UACGUAGGGUGCAAGCGUUGUCCGGAAUUAUUGGGCGUAAAGAGCUCGUAGGCGGUCUGUCGCGUCUGGCGUGAAAACUCAAGGCUUAACCUUGGGCCUGCAUCGGGUACGGGCAGACUAGAGUGCGGUAGGGGAGACUGGAAUUCCUGGUGUAGCGGUGAAAUGCGCAGAUAUCAGGAGGAACACCGGUGGUGUAGACGGCGUUCUGGACCGUAACUGACGCUGAGACACGAAAGCGUGGGUAGCAAACAGG